rnacentral:tRNA from 1 species
ACUGAGUAGCUCAGUGGAUAGAGAGCCAGGCUUGAAAACUGGAGGUCCUGGGUUCAAAUUUUGGCUUCAGUC